rnacentral:rRNA from 1 species
AGCGUACACGGUGGAUGCCCUGGCAGUCAGAGGCGAUGAAGGACGUGCUAAUCUGCGAUAAGCGUCGGUGAGGUGAUAUGAACCGUUAUAACCGGCGAUUUCCGAAUGGGGAAACCCAGUGUGUUUCGACACACUAUCAUUAACUGAAUCCAUAGGUUAAUGAGGCGAACCGGGGGAACUGAAACAUCUAAGUACCCCGAGGAAAAGAAAUCAACCGAGAUUCCCCCAGUAGCGGCGAGCGAACGGGGAGGAGCCCAGAGCCUGAAUCAGUGUGUGUAUUAGUGGAAGCGUCUGGAAAGGCGCGCGAUACAGGGUGACAGCCCCGUACACAAAAAUGCACAUGCUGUGAGCUCGAUGAGUAGGGCGGGACACGUGGUAUCCUGUCUGAAUAUGGGGGGACCAUCCUCCAAGGCUAAAUACUCCUGACUGACCGAUAGUGAACCAGUACCGUGAGGGAAAGGCGAAAAGAACCCCGGCGAGGGGAGUGAAAAAGAACCUGAAACCGUGUACGUACAAGCAGUGGGAGCCUCUUAAUGGGGUGACUGCGUACCUUUUGUAUAAUGGGUCAGCGACUUAUAUUCUGUAGCAAGGUUAACCGAAUAGGGGAGCCGAAGGGAAACCGAGUCUUAACUGGGCGUUAAGUUGCAGGGUAUAGACCCGAAACCCGGUGAUCUAGCCAUGGGCAGGUUGAAGGUUGGGUAACACUAACUGGAGGACCGAACCGACUAAUGUUGAAAAAUUAGCGGAUGACUUGUGGCUGGGGGUGAAAGGCCAAUCAAACCGGGAGAUAGCUGGUUCUCCCCGAAAGCUAUUUAGGUAGCGCCUCGUGAAUUCAUCUCCGGGGGUAGAGCACUGUUUCGGCAAGGGGGUCAUCCCGACUUACCAACCCGAUGCAAACUGCGAAUACCGGAGAAUGUUAUCACGGGAGACACACGGCGGGUGCUAACGUCCGUCGUGAAGAGGGAAACAACCCAGACCGCCAGCUAAGGUCCCAAAGUCAUGGUUAAGUGGGAAACGAUGUGGGAAGGCCCAGACAGCCAGGAUGUUGGCUUAGAAGCAGCCAUCAUUUAAAGAAAGCGUAAUAGCUCACUGGUCGAGUCGGCCUGCGCGGAAGAUGUAACGGGGCUAAACCAUGCACCGAAGCUGCGGCAGCGACACUAUGUGUUGUUGGGUAGGGGAGCGUUCUGUAAGCCUGUGAAGGUGGCCUGUGAGGGUUGCUGGAGGUAUCAGAAGUGCGAAUGCUGACAUAAGUAACGAUAAAGCGGGUGAAAAGCCCGCUCGCCGGAAGACCAAGGGUUCCUGUCCAACGUUAAUCGGGGCAGGGUGAGUCGACCCCUAAGGCGAGGCCGAAAGGCGUAGUCGAUGGGAAACAGGUUAAUAUUCCUGUACUUGGUGUUACUGCGAAGGGGGGACGGAGAAGGCUAUGUUGGCCGGGCGACGGUUGUCCCGGUUUAAGCGUGUAGGCUGGUUUUCCAGGCAAAUCCGGAAAACCAAGGCUGAGGCGUGAUGACGAGGCACUACGGUGCUGAAGUGACAAAUGCCCUGCUUCCAGGAAAAGCCUCUAAGCAUCAGGUAACAUCAAAUCGUACCCCAAACCGACACAGGUGGUCAGGUAGAGAAUACCAAGGCGCUUGAGAGAACUCGGGUGAAGGAACUAGGCAAAAUGGUGCCGUAACUUCGGGAGAAGGCACGCUGAUAUGUAGGUGAAGCGACUUGCUCGUGGAGCUGAAAUCAGUCGAAGAUACCAGCUGGCUGCAACUGUUUAUUAAAAACACAGCACUGUGCAAACACGAAAGUGGACGUAUACGGUGUGACGCCUGCCCGGUGCCGGAAGGUUAAUUGAUGGGGUUAGCGGUAACGCGAAGCUCUUGAUCGAAGCCCCGGUAAACGGCGGCCGUAACUAUAACGGUCCUAAGGUAGCGAAAUUCCUUGUCGGGUAAGUUCCGACCUGCACGAAUGGCGUAAUGAUGGCCAGGCUGUCUCCACCCGAGACUCAGUGAAAUUGAACUCGCUGUGAAGAUGCAGUGUACCCGCGGCAAGACGGAAAGACCCCGUGAACCUUUACUAUAGCUUGACACUGAACAUUGAGCCUUGAUGUGUAGGAUAGGUGGGAGGCUUUGAAGUGUGGACGCCAGUCUGCAUGGAGCCGACCUUGAAAUACCACCCUUUAAUGUUUGAUGUUCUAACGUUGGCCCGUAAUCCGGGUUGCGGACAGUGUCUGGUGGGUAGUUUGACUGGGGCGGUCUCCUCCUAAAGAGUAACGGAGGAGCACGAAGGUUGGCUAAUCCUGGUCGGACAUCAGGAGGUUAGUGCAAUGGCAUAAGCCAGCUUGACUGCGAGCGUGACGGCGCGAGCAGGUGCGAAAGCAGGUCAUAGUGAUCCGGUGGUUCUGAAUGGAAGGGCCAUCGCUCAACGGAUAAAAGGUACUCCGGGGAUAACAGGCUGAUACCGCCCAAGAGUUCAUAUCGACGGCGGUGUUUGGCACCUCGAUGUCGGCUCAUCACAUCCUGGGGCUGAAGUAGGUCCCAAGGGUAUGGCUGUUCGCCAUUUAAAGUGGUACGCGAGCUGGGUUUAGAACGUCGUGAGACAGUUCGGUCCCUAUCUGCCGUGGGCGCUGGAGAACUGAGGGGGGCUGCUCCUAGUACGAGAGGACCGGAGUGGACGCAUCACUGGUGUUCGGGUUGUCAUGCCAAUGGCACUGCCCGGUAGCUAAAUGCGGAAGAGAUAAGUGCUGAAAGCAUCUAAGCACGAAACUUGCCCCGAGAUGAGUUCU